CCUAAUUUAAAUUUGCCACACCUCUUCCUCUUAAAGACUUACGCACCCACACACUCAAAGACACAUACACAGACAGACACACAUUUACUGACAGACUAACACACUCACACACAGGCUCCCUCACACACACACACUGACAGACAUACACGCACACACUCAGACACACAUUCACUGACACACACACGACAGCCAGAUACACACACACACAUUCACUGAAAGACAGACAGACACACACACACACACAAUUCCCCCCAACACUCACAGAUUAUUAUUUUUUAAUUUUAACAUAAAUCCACCCAGCCUCCCUACUUUUGGAAGAGCUGGGUGGAUUUAUUUUUUUACCUGGGGUCCUGGGCUGGC